UGACAAUUCUCUUUAGUAAAGUUUUCAUCUGGUGAACACGUGAAUUGAGAGACGUAAAUUUAAACUUAUUUAAUUUUAUUUAAUUUGUUUGAAUAACUUUGCCGUGAUUCAUUGGCUUCUUCACACAAAUAGUUUCUACUUUGUGAAUUGAAUUGAACAAAAUGGAUAAUUCUUGCGGGUUUUGCGGCAUGCAAUUGGAUCCAGAGUCGAUGCUUUGCAACUUAUGCGAUAAUGAUACGAUUUGAACAAUUACCUUAGAGACUCGUCCAUGGAAAACUCUGACGUCGAGGACUCUUCUGAUACGCAGACCGAAGUUGCCUUAGAAUCUCUGGCUAACGGUGGAUAUGUACCGUCCGACGAUGAUUUGGAAGUUGAUGAAGACAAUUAUCAAUUUGAUAUUCUCUUCAAUAUGUGCGUACUGGAAGCUUUUUUGUUGGUAUCAAAAAUCAAUGACGAUAACAUGAACAAUUAAACUUGAAUGCGAAAAUGUU